rnacentral:lncRNA from 1 species
AUGCUUCUCACCCUGGCUCCAGGAACUAUCUCCCUUUUUGUGUGGUUCUGUGUCAGUAAAGAUGAACUGAUGUGCUUUGAGGGAUCAAGACUGUCAACCCUGACUCUGAUAGGUGGCUUCUUGGCUACUAGAGCUACACACCUUAUAACCUCUGCAGAGCUGCAGACUCCCAGGAAAACCUUCCAGUCCAGGACAUUCUGUUACCCUCCGUUGAGCUGA